UACGUAGGGUGCAAGCGUUGUCCGGAAUCAUUGGGCGUAAAGAGCUCGUAGGCGGUUUGUUGCGUCGGCUGUGAAAUCCCGAGGCUCAACCUCGGGUCUGCAGUCGAUACGAGCAAACUAGAGUGUUGCAGGGGAGACUGGAAUUCCUGGUGUAGCGGUGAAAUGCGUAGAGAUCAGGAAGAACACCGGUGGCGAAGGCGGAUCUCUGGGCCAUUACUGACGCUGAGGAGCGAAAGCGUGGGGAGCGAACAGG
rnacentral:rRNA from 1 species